rnacentral:rRNA from 1 species
UACGGAGGAGGCAAGCGUUAUCCGGAAUUAUUGGGCGUAAAGCGUCCGCAGGUGGCACCUCAAGUCUGCUGUCAAAGACCGGGGCUUAACCCCAGGAAGGCAGUGGAAACUGAAGUGCUAGAGUGCAGUAGGGGUAGAGGGAAUUCCCGGUGUAGCGGUGAAAUGCGUAGAGAUCGGGAAGAACAUCGGUGGCGAAAGCGCUCUGCUGGACUGCAACUGACACUCAGGGACGAAAGCUAGGGGAGCGAAUGGG